rnacentral:sRNA from 1 species
GCCAGGUUUGGUGGUGCAUGCCUGUAAACCUAGCAGCUCAGGAGGCUGAGACAGGAGGAUCGUGAGUUCAAAGCCAGCCUCAGCAACACUGAGGCAAGGCGCUAGGCAACUCAGUGAGACCCUGUCUCUA